CAGGAACGAGACUAUCUGUAACUCUGUCCAGCGCUACGCCUCAUGCAUAGCGGAAGUAGUCAAGGACCUAUACUGCUCAAGUUCACGGGAGGACCAGACAUCAAUCUUUUUCGGCGUUUCUUCUGGCCCUAUACCGAAACGCAAGUACAUAUCGUCAAGGAGUUAUGCCAGCAACCCGUGGUUCUCCGGGAAAGCUGUUGUGCCUCCGAAAACACAAACAGGGGAAUUGCUUUUAGCAUAUUUGCCAUCACUUCCUGAGAACCAGCUAGCACGAUCAGUUUUUUUCCUAACCACUCCGACUCAACAUUUUGUUCAUUCUCCUUUUUGCCCAAACCCUGCUCCAUGUACUAACACCCUGUGAGUUCUUUUAUCAGGAAUUGGAUAUUGCAUGCCACCCCUCGUCUAGUCAAAGUCACUGGCAUGAGAUCAUCCACCAGCUUGUUCGCAAUGGCAUGCUCGACCACGAGUUGGGUUCUAUACUUAUCCGUCGGCAAUCCCAGCUCGACGCGGAUGCAAGCCUAGGCACACCUCACCUCACACAUCGCCACCUACUGGAAUGCGACUUCUCGACGCUGGCUCUUGCUCACAAUGGAACUAUAUCAAGUUUCAUAGAUCCAAAAUCAGUUCAUCGGUCCCAACAUCACACAUGCAAUCGAGGCAUGCCAACUGUUCUACAUCCCUGCAAUACUCCAGGAGGGAUGGGCUCUGUACAUUUGGGACAUGUUGUCAAGGAUCAUUCACAUUAUCGACCCGGCUACUGGCCCAAGGGGAUGCAAUGCAGACCAGAAGGAUCGUCAUGAGCUCAUAGCGUCGCGGCUCCACGACGCCUUGUUUCUCCGCCUAAACGAUUAUUUUGCUGGUUGGCCCACACCUAAGGAAAACUGGACUACAAAAUACCCGCUACUAAUGCAAAAUCCAGUUACCAGGGAAGAAAGUGGGUUAUGCGUCAUGCAUAUCAUCAGGUACCACGACGGGGAAAAAGCCCGGAAUGCGCUUACCAAGAAUACCUUGGCAGUCACCAGACUGUGUGCCAUCCAGGAGAUGAUGAAGCUUCAAGGGAACCAAUCAUCACUCCCAGCUGAUGCACUAUGGCAGAAGGCGAUAUCAUCAUCCAGAAGAGCAACCUCAUCGUCACUCUCGCCAUAUGGGACAAGUGUUGGAAUGCUGCCAUCCAACUUAGGAGACAAACCACUUCCAGCCAAACCAUCUGGUGGGUUCCCAACGGGCCCGGAAGGACCCCCACUCCCAGCUAUAUUCUGGAAACUUCCACCAUCUGCAUCACCCGCACUGGAUAUGGAUGCAGCAUUGGUACCAAGUUUUGUUCCAGGGCCACAUAUCAAAGCUAACCACAGACGAAGUUCGUCCUCCAACGGAUCUAGCACUUGAAGAGCCGACCAUCAAGUCCAUACCCAACUGCUGCUCCCCACAUUUGCAUUUUCAUAGUCAUUAAUCUGGUAAUUGGCUAACUAGUUCAGAAUUCCACCACCUUCCUGUUUUUUUUGCCAUUUCCGAAUAUAUUUUUUUGUAUACUGGAUCACAUACAUGAAAUCGGUCGGAUCAUUGGAGCCGUGCUCACAGCACCGGGAUACAACUUUCUCC
rnacentral:rRNA from 1 species